ensembl:lncRNA
CUCUUAAAAGGGCAAUGCCCUUAAAAGGGCAACAGAGCCCCUUAAAAGUGUGACCCGCAUGUGGCGCGGUCUCCACAUCAAAAAUAAAAUAAAAUGUUUAUAAAAUAAAAACAUUUUAAAAAUUCCCUAAAUAUAUUGAAUAUAAAUAUGGCCUUUCCUAAACAUACCUAAAAAUGUAGUGGUUAAAAUGCUCCUAAUAUAUUGAAUAGUACUAUAUUAAUAUAUUGAAUGUUAAUAUGUUAAUACCCUGUAUAUGGAUAUAAAACAAAUAUUAAAUAUUCCAUAAGACAUAAAAGUUAUUUCCCAUAUAUAUAUAUAUUUCUAUAUUUAAACAUACAAUUUUUAAAACAGUUAACAGGUAGGGAAGGGAUGGGAGAGCUUCUUUGACUGAUGUUAAAGAAUAAUUUUUUUGGUCUGGAGGGGACGUGAUGUUUUUUUGGUGCUCUGAUGGAAGAUGCAGAACACUCCACUGAAGUGGAGCCAUGAAAGAUGCUCCUGAGGAAAAUAAAAGCUGCUUGAAUCGCCUCUGGGCCACCCUCCCCCUUGGCACUGUAGCCCCAAGACUGAUCCAGGCUUUCCCAAAUUCCCCAUCCCCGUCAUGGCCUCCAUGGAAGCACCAGAAUCUUCCCUGUGCUUUCAAAUCUGUUUUUUUCUGCCAGGGAAACUGAGGCAGGGACACGUGGCAAUGCCCUGGGAGAAGCCAUCCUGCUCCCCAAACCCAUCCGUGCCUCGGAGGUGCCUGUUACCCACGAGAGGAUCUUUAUUUGAUAUUUAAUUGGUGGUUUUUCACAUGCAUAUUUAUACACCUGGGAGCCAGGGAAGAGCUCCCCUUGGAAAACCAGUCCAGCGGGGACUCCCCUCCCUGGGGAAACACCUCCUGCUUCCCACCCGCACUGUGGGCCGAGGUUUCUGCUGGAAAAAACCCCGUGUGCAGGGCUUGGAGCACCCUGAAAUGAGGAAUUCCCACUCGCUGGUGCCGCAGAAUGCGGGAUAGCGCGGGCACGCCGUGGCUGGAAGGAUACACGGGCAGGGCUGGGGGUCACAGUGUGUUUAUUGGGGGUUUUGGUGGGCACGGACACUCUGGGCACGCUGGGUCCUGCCUGGCAGCGGGGCUGUGGGCACAGGGAGCUGCUGGACAUGCACGGAGAGGGGCAGGAGCUGCUGGCCUGGAGCAUUGUGCUGUCCUCAGGGCAUCACAUCAGCAUCCGCCUCGGAGCAUCCGUUGUCCUCGGAGCUUCCAUCAUCAUCCUCAGCAUCCCAUCUGCAUCUGUCUCAGAGCAUCCUGGAGCAUCCUGGAGCAUCCUGGAGCAUCCCAUCAUCCUUGGGGCAUUCAUCAUCAUCCUCAGCAUCCCAUCUGCAUCUGCCUCGGAGCAUCCUGGAGCAUCCUGGAGCAUCCCAUCAUCCUUGGGGCAUCCAUCGUCAUCCUUAGCAUCCCAUCUGCAUCCACCUCAGAGCAUCCUGGAGCAUCCUGGAGCAUCCCAUCAUCCUUGGGGCAUCCCACCCCACCCACCUUGGCCAUCCCAUCCACUUUGGAGCAUCCCAAAGUCCCUCAGGGUCCUGGGAACCCCCCAUCCCUAUUGCCACAUCCCUGCCCGCCAUCCCCCCUCCUUUCCUGCCACCAGCUCCCAGCCCAUGGCUCGAGCAGACAAAGACCC